GUGAAGGCCUUGAUAAGAUUUAUCCGGGUGGGUCUUUUGACCCGCUUGGAUUGGCUGAUGACCCGGAAGCUUUUGCUGAAUUGAAGGUUAAGGAGCUUAAAAAUGGAAGAUUGGCGAUGUUUUCUAUGUUUGGGUUUUUUGUUCAGGCUAUUGUUACAGGGAAGGGUCCGAUUGAGAAUUUGUUUGACCAUCUUGCUGACCCGGUUGCUAACAAUGCUUGGGCUUAUGCUACCAACUUUGUGCCCGGAAAAUGAGUUGNAGAAACGGAUUUGGGAUAUAUAACAAAAGCUGUGAAAAAUAACAGGCUAUACCGACGACAUGUCGUCGGUACAGCUUCGCAACAGUAAAAACAGUUUUCACCUUUCCAGAUGACAUAUCGUCGGUAUUACACACAUUUUUCCCGACGACAAGUCGUCGGUAAGUCCCAAAUAAAAAAAUUUCGUAUUUCCUCGAAAAUCAAUCCUGACGACUUGUCGUCUGGAUUGGUUAUUCUAUACCGAUGACUCCUGUCCCGACAACAUUUUCGACUUUUAACGACGACUUUUUACAGACGACAUGUCGUCGGUAUAAGCUUUACCGACGACAGUACAGGGUCCCUAAUUGUCGUUUGCAUAGGGCUCGAUCCUUGUAGUGGUGGUCAAGGCCAUCAUAGGCUUCAUAAUAAGUAGUGAAGAAUUUGCGCCACGUAUCAUAAUUGUGUCGACUGCGAUAGAGAAGGAUGGGUAUGUGAGCCUUAAUAUUUGUAACAACAAAAGCUUUAUGAAUUUGAAGAGUAGUACUCAAUCUGCAUCACCUUCUUCCACUGUAUGGUGUUGUAUGGUGUCUUUCAUCCUAAUUCCUAAGGCUUUCAGAUAAGUUUCUACUUCUUCAUUUUCAGCAUCAGUAAGUAAUUUACUGACAGAGAAUAUGUAAACUCGUGCUUUGUAUUCUUAACGGUAAUGAGGAAAAUGGAGAAUCAGACUCCACAACUCAACAUGUUAAAACUAAAGCACUUACAAAUGGUAACGAUCGAAUUUUGGAGUCACUACAUGAUAGUGGAUUUCACACUCAAAUUUUAACUAGUACAAAAUUAACUUACAAAAUAGAAUGAAAUAAGUAAUUAGUAACCAUUAAAGGUCGUCCAUUUCGUUUGUGAUUAUGAAACAAGAUGAAAUUGUUAAGUGCUACAGAAUAAAAAAUUUUGAGAGUUCAAACACUUGCACCAACAAAUUUUAUUUUAUUUUAUUUCUUUUUUCAUUGUGGAAGACUAAUAAUCAAAUCGCACUUCAUUUCCAAAUCAGUGGUCUAUUAGAAAUUGGUCUUUUUCUAUUUUCCUUUUACACUUUCAAUUUCUCAUUGGUGAUUUUCGUGAGGUCGUGUGAAUUGCAGAUGAAGAAGCAUAUGCAUCUCGUUGUUGAUUUUGAAUAGGCUCUUCAACCUGUAAUCUACUAUAUUAUUCGUUUUUAUUUUUGGUGGCUGAGAAUCAACGCAUCAAGAAAUCAGAGAACCACGUGGCAGAAAGAAGGACCGCCAUAUCACCUCUCAAAAUCAGAAACCAAAUCCAGUAAACCAAUGAGAUGAUGCUGACUUGUACUCAACCUAAUCCAUCCAUCUUAUUAAAUUCCUUAUAUAACCCUCCAUUACUCUCCACCACACACAUCAACUACAAACUACCAUUUCUACAAACCCCUCAAAAGAAAUGGCAACCACCGCAAUCCAACAGUCAGCAUUCGCCGGCCAACAGGCCUUGAAGCCACAGAACGAGCUCGUCCGGAAGACCGGCAGCUUCAAUGGCGGCCGCUUCACCAUGCGCCGCACAGUCAAAAGUGCACCGCAAAGCAUUUGGUAAAACUCACAAAUCGAUGUUCUUCUUGUUUCCAAAUUCAUAUAUCGAUACCAGAACUAACUAACUGUAAUCACCAUCUUUAAACAGGUAUGGACCAGAUCGUCCAAAGUACUUGGGCCCAUUCUCGGAGCAAACCCCAUCAUACUUGACCGGUGAAUUCCCCGGUGACUACGGGUGGGACACCGCCGGACUUUCGGCUGACCCGGAGACAUUUGCCAAGAACCGUGAGCUCGAAGUGAUCCACUCUCGGUGGGCCAUGCUGGGUGCACUCGGGUGCGUCUUCCCCGAGCUUCUCUCCAAAAACGGUGUCACAUUCGGUGAAGCAGUCUGGUUCAAGGCGGGUUCCCAGAUUUUCUCAGAAGGUGGCCUUGACUACCUUGGAAACCCUAAUUUGAUCCAUGCCCAAAGCAUUCUUGCUAUCUGGGCAUCUCAGGUUGUCCUCAUGGGGCUCAUUGAAGGAUACCGGGUUGGUGGGGGUCCGCUUGGUGAAGGCCUUGAUAAGAUUUAUCCGGGUGGGUCUUUUGACCCGCUUGGAUUGGCUGAUGACCCGGAAGCUUUUGCUGAAUUGAAGGUUAAGGAGCUUAAAAAUGGAAGAUUGGCGAUGUUUUCUAUGUUUGGGUUUUUUGUUCAGGCUAUUGUUACAGGGAAGGGUCCGAUUGAGAAUUUGUUUGACCAUCUUGCUGACCCGGUUGCUAACAAUGCUUGGGCUUAUGCUACCAACUUUGUGCCCGGAAAAUGAGUGUAAAUUGAAUCCUUUGUAAAUUCGAUAACUGUUAUGCAACAUUACAAGAUGAAAUGAAGCUGUUUUGUCGAGAAACUAUUGCAUUUCAUAUGAUAUUCCGUAUGAAUUCAUUAUUUCGCAAAGAUGCUAAAAGAAAAUUCUAUAAUUUGCAAUAACAAACUAUCUUGGAGUAACUCGGAAAAUGUAAUAGAAACAAAUCAUUGUACUUGUAUUAUUUUUUGAAAAAAUCACAAAAAUAGCCUUAGCCAUUUUUGUGAAUGACAUUUCAAGUUUUUAACCAAAAAUUAAUCAUUUUUAAAAAAUAGUCAUCAAAAUUGCAUGUGGGUGCGUGUGAUUUCAUGCCCCUCAUCUUUGAUUUCAGAAAAUGGGUUAUAAUUUUGAUACAUAGCGCAUAGUAUUUAACUCCUAAAAUUAGAAAUGUAUCCUAAUUUUCAUACUUUCAGGUUAAAUAAAUUUUCUCUACUCUCUCCGAUGGCUCAAAAAGGUUUUCCCUCCUAUAACUUUGUAAAUU
rnacentral:lncRNA from 1 species